GGGGUAAACGGUCCUUGGGAGUGGGAGGUGAGGAUUGAGCUCAAGAGAGCUAGACACUAGAUAGAACUGAGAUACAAUUUCUUGUUCCAUCUAAGUGUUGGUAAAGACUUACUCGUGGGAUAUUUGAAGGAUAGAGCAUGAAAUUAUUUCCCAGUUCUCUGCUUUGAGGUGAAAUGCCAGCCUAAUUCAGAGGUUCAGUCCAUAUUUGCCCUUGUUUUUUUCCCUUCUCUUUAAGAAAUUAAAGCAUAACUUUUCAUAGUGUCAUAGUAACAUAAAAAGAUGAACAGUGAUGCCAUCAGCCAUUAUAGCUGAUGGAGAGGUAGCUGUUGUGACCUCCCACCAAUGGCUCAGAAAUGAAUGAAGUUAAACAAGAACAGAACUAUUUGAGAGGGUGAAGGUUAGAAUCCUUGUAUGUAUGAAUUUUCACAGCUGGUACAAUGCUGAUAAAAUGUUUUCAUCCUUCCUGCCAAGGAAAGAGUAGAGCUCAGCCCCCUUUGCUCUGGAUACGCAGCUCCAAAGAAAUGUCGUGGAGCUUCAUAAUCAUGAUUUCAAAGAGUUCUAAACCAGAAUCAAGAAGAUGGACAGAAAAAGAAAAAAAAAAAAAAAAAAAGAAAGAAACCAGCAGCAGCAGCUGGGUGGGAUAUGGUCACGGUUAUCAACACCCAAUCAAGAGUUAAGUAGACCUGGGUUGUCCUUCUCUGGGGUUAUUUGCUGAGAUCUGACCACCCUGUUCACCUGCUCUUCCUCAGCAUCCCUGUGUAAAAAGCAAGUGUCAUCCCAUCAAGACUUCCGUUGGCAAGUCCCCACCGGUAAAAUAGACCCUUUGGCGAUGUCGAGAGCUGGAAAGAAGCGUGGUAGUUAGGGUGACUUUGCCCCAAAUGAUCAUCGGCAAACGGAGCUGAGCAGCAGAGUUCCUGAAUCUUAGGGAAUGCCCUUGGCUGACAUAGAAAGGACUCCCAUUCUUUUUCGAGUUGGGAGAGGAGCUGCCCAUGGAAAAGACAGGUUCUGCUGCUAGAAUCAGUGAGCAAACGGAGGAGUUUCAUGUGCAGGUCCUUUGGUACGAAGUACUUUUCUGACAUGAGAGAUUUUUCUGGCAAAAAUGCCUGCUCAGCGUUCAUUUCCUUUGGCGUGUUUCCUAACAACUGUCUACCUUUCACUGAUUGCUCUUAAAUAAGAGUACUAAAAAAUAAAGAAAUAAAAAUCUUGACAUUUUGAUCAAGAUUCUGCUUAAAUCUUAAAACAAAUGACCCUUGAUGAUUUUCAAGUAGAUGUUUUCAUGGUUUCUGUUUUGUUUUAAAUGAAAUUUGAUAACAAAUACAGGUAAGAGAGACAUGAUAUCAGAGCUUCUAAUUAAAUUUCACUUUCUCAGUCCGUGGGAAGACCAAAAUUAAAGCUCAUAGAAUUUUGCAUCAUAUCAAAUUGACUGGUUUCAGUUAAUGAGAAAUAUCUAUGUAAUAUUUAUGCCAGAAGUUAUCCAAGCUUUCAAGACACCUUUAAAAUGUGCUAAUUUGGAAUUUGAUGUAUUAAUGUGCUCAUUUGACAGCUUUCUUUAAAAAAAAAAGAAAUUAAGUAAUUAGGUUUGCUGUUAUAUUUAAAUAUACUUUCCAGUAUGUCCUUAUGGGGUGCCUUCUUUAAAUAUAUCUCUAAAAAUGCAACAAAAGUAAAAAUACAUUGUAGAUGAAGAAAAAUAGAGUAGUACCCCCAAUCCCCUUUCUA